UACGAAGGGGGCUAGCGUUGCUCGGAAUCACUGGGCGUAAAGCGCACGUAGGCGGCUUCUUAAGUCAGGGGUGAAAUCCUGGAGCUCAACUCCAGAACUGCCUUUGAUACUGAGAAGCUUGAGUCCGGGAGAGGUGAGUGGAACUGCGAGUGUAGAGGUGAAAUUCGUAGAUAUCAGGAGGAACACCAAUGGCGAAGGCAGCUCGCUGGGACGGUACUGACGCUGAGGCGCGAAAGCGUGGGGAGCAAACAGG
rnacentral:rRNA from 1 species